CAACCUCUGAUACUUAACCUGGGGGCUCUUUUGUUUUCUUGGAAGAAAAGUGCCGCCAGGCUUU
rnacentral:miRNA from 1 species